rnacentral:rRNA from 1 species
UACGUAGGGUGCGAGCGUUAAUCGGAAUUACUGGGCGUAAAGCGUGCGCAGGCGGUAAGUUAAGUCUGAUGUGAAAGCCCCGGGCUCAACCUGGGAAUUGCGAUGGAGACUGCAAGGCUAGAAUCUGGCAGAGGGGGGUAGAAUUCCACGUGUAGCAGUGAAAUGCGUAGAUAUCUGGAGGAACACCGGUGGCGAAGGCGGCAUCCUGGACCAAUAUUGACGCCGAGGAGCGAAAGCCAGGGGAGCAAACGGG